UCAAUCCUUCCGUCCCAG
rnacentral:tRNA from 1 species